rnacentral:lncRNA from 1 species
CCCCCACUGCACCCCCCCACCCCCCCCCCACACGCCUGGGACCUUACUGAUGGAGCCGCCAUAUUGGGUCACACAGGGACACACGGGCCUUUCACUCAGCGUCCCCUUCGAACGACACAGCGCAACAAUCCCACACCGGGUAUUGUUCUACGUGCUACGUUCUACGAAUAAUGAAAUCCCAACCCUCGGGGAGCUCCUAUUCCAAGCUCUACUCCCCACAGGGAAGGGGAGGGGAGGGGAGGGGAGGGGAGGGGACCGCUAAACAAAUACAACAUCAGUUGGUGAUGAAUGUGAAGAAGGAUAGAGUAGGAACAGGGGGGGAGGGGGCAGGCCGGCCUUUUUUUUUUUUUUUUUUAAAUAUGCUGGAAAAGGUCUCCUAAAAGAUAAUAGGGGGAAAGACGUAAAGCAGUAAGCCCCGUUAACGUCUGGUAUAAACAGCCCCGGGGGAGGGAACUGCAGGUUCAAAGCAUUCUGCUGUUGGAAUCAAUAAAUAACCCGGUCUUUUUCUCCCUCUACCUUCUGAUCUUCCUCCUCCACCGACUCAACUCCACUCCACUGGAGGCCAGAGAGCAAAGACAGAGUAGCUGGAAGGGGCAGGCAGCGAAGCACGGCUGGUCCAGAGAGCACGUGGAGACACGGAAACGGGGUUCGGUGCCCGUCUGUCCCAUAGCAGGGUCUCGCAGGAGCUGGUACGUGUGGAGACGACUAUGAAGCCUCAUAGAUUCAGCUUCCGGUGACACUCGGUCCUAGCAUUGGUCCCUGCCGGGCGGUGCAGCAGUCAGAUGCAUGGACCAACCAUCUCAUGUGCAGCAAAAGCAGCUCCUCUGCCCCAGGACCCUUGCACAGGAGGUCACUGUACAUUUUGCCACCCGGCCCUGGCUCCUCUCCCAUCUCUUUGCUCACUCGGGCAGAGCCCUCAAGUGCAGCCAAGUGAGUGGCUGUUGCUCCGAGUGCUGGGGCUUCAGAGGAUAGAGAAUAGGUCUUCCCUCGGGAAGAUUUCCAUUCUCGGGGCAAGGACAGCUGGGGAGCAAAGCAGGGUACGGGAUGGAGUGCAGCAAGGGGUGCCAUUUGGGAGAGAGUCAUUGGCUCAAACGUCCCCUCCUCAGGAAGGCUCCCCAGGACCUGAAUGUAGAGAGAAGUGAGCCAUGUGGCUGUCUAGGGGAAGUGUGUUCCCAGAGACUUCAAACAGGCACACGCUUUGUCCAAGGACAGCAAUGGGCCCGGCCCAUUUCCUUCCUCCACCUUCCCCAUCCUUCACCCAGGUUUCCUUGGUCUACACAUUCCUCCCCCCUGCACCCCCACCCCUGUUGUCUUUCACCUAGCCAAGUCCUUCUCCCGUGACCUUUAGCACUCAAGCCAGAGGCUGCCUCC